GACGAACCGUGCGAACGUUAUUCGGAAUCAUUGGGCUUAAAGGGCGCGUAGACGGGCGACCGCGUCGAGUGCUGAAAUCCCCCGGCUCAACCGGGGAACGGGCAUCGAAACGGGUCGCCUCGAGUGGAGGAGGGGGGACCGGAACGGCCGGUGGAGCGGUGAAAUGCGUUGAGAUCGGCCGGAACGCCAAUGGCGAAAGCAGGUCCCUGGACUCUCACUGACGUUGAGGCGCGAAAGCCAGGGGAGCGAACGGG
rnacentral:rRNA from 1 species